rnacentral:snRNA from 1 species
UUGCUUUGGCAGCACAUAUACUAAAAUUAGAAUCAUACAGAGAAGAUUAGCCUGGAUCCUGUGCAAGUGUUCUUGAAGUGUUCCAUAUUAAA